rnacentral:tRNA from 1 species
AUUAGAAAGCGAAAGAGUUGCGUUUAGUUUCGACCUAAAUUUUGAAGAAGAUCUUCUCUAAUU